AAGCAUAUCAAUAAGCGGAGGAAAAGAAACUAACAAGGAUUCCCCUAGUAACUGCGAGUGAAGAGGGAAAAGCUCAAAUUUAAAAUCUGACAGUCUAUGGCUGUCCGAGUUGUAAAUUAGAGAAGUGUUAUCUGCUCAAGCCUGUGCAAAAGUCUCUUGGAAAAGGGCAUCAUAGAGGGUGACAAUCCCGUCUUUGGCACAGAUCACUUGCGCUUUUGUGAUGCGCUCUCAAUGAGUCGAGUUGUUUGGGAAUGCAGCUCCAAAUGGGUGGUAAAUUCCAUCUAAAGCUAAAUAUUGGCGAGAAACCGAUAGCGCACAAGUACCGUGAGGGAAAGAUGAAAAGAACUUUGAAAAGAGAGUUAAACAGUACGUGAAAUUGUUGAAAGGGAAACGCUUGGAGUCAGUCGUGUUCUGCAAAAUCAACCUAACCUUUGGUUGGGUGUAUUUUUUGUAGAAUGGGUCAGCAUCAAUUUUGAUUGUUGGAAAAAGGACUUGGGAAUGUGGCAUCUUUGGAUGUGUUAUAGCCCUUGUUUGUAUACAAUGAUUGGGAUUGAGGAACUCAGUGUGACUUUUGUUUGGGGGCAUUGCCUCACAUCAACGCACUUAGGAUGCUGGCAUAAUGGCUUUAAUCGACCCGUCUUGAAACACGGACCAAGGAGUCUAACAUGCAUGCAAGUGUUUGGGUGGAAAACUCAAGCGCGUAAUGAAAGUGAAAGUUGAGAACCCUGUCRUGGGGUGCAUCGACGCCCGGUCUUGACCUUUUGUGACGGACCUGCGGUAGAGCAUGUAUGUUGGGACCCGAAAGAUGGUGAACUAUGCCUGAAUAGGGUGAAGCCAGAGGAAACUCUGGUGGAAGCUCGUAGCGAUUCUGACGUGCAAAUCGAUCGUCGAAUUUGGGUAUAGGGGCGAAAGA
rnacentral:rRNA from 2 species